AAAGCCUUCACCACCGAAUUGUAAGAGGGGGAAGAAGCCAUUUUUAAUCUUGGAGGUUUCAGCAAGUUCAAAUGCUAGCAUGGCUUGUGCCAAGCUUUUGGUUGGAUUGUAUGAUGUUUUAUUUUAAAGCUAUGCAUUGAAAUGAUUAUCAGAAGCUCGAUCGAGUUGGAAGCUCGUCGAAGAUCUAUCACACUAUCCGGCGAUUAUAUUGGUAAUUUUGAUGUGUUGGUCAAGGUUAUAAUGGCAUGUAUAGGUGGACUUAUGUUUAAUGAUUUAGUUGUUAUGUUUGGCAUGUAUAUAUGAUAUUAUGGUUGGUGUGUUUUUGGCACAUUAAUGCCUUGAUGGAUGUUUUUUUUAUGUUUAAGUUGAUGCAUGUUGGAAUGACCAAUUUGGUAUGUGAUGGUAUACUUAUAGUGUGGCUAAA